AAAUUGAAGAGUUUGAUCAUGGCUCAGAUUGAACGCUGGCGGCAGGCCUAACACAUGCAAGUCGAACGGUAACAGGAAGCAGCUUGCUGCUUUGCUGACGAGUGGCGGACGGGUGAGUAAUGUCUGGGAAACUGCCUGAUGGAGGGGGAUAACUACUGGAAACGGUGGCUAAUACCGCAUAACGUCGCAAGACCAAAGAGGGGGACCUUCGGGCCUCUUGCCAUCAGAUGUGCCCAGAUGGGAUUAGCUUGUUGGUGAGGUAACGGCUCACCAAGGCGACGAUCCCUAGCUGGUCUGAGAGGAUGACCAGCCACACUGGAACUGAGACACGGCCCAGACUCCUACGGGAGGCAGCAGUGGGGAAUAUUGCACAAUGGGCGCAAGCCUGAUGCAGCCAUGCCGCGUGUAUGAAGAAGGCCUUCGGGUUGUAAAGUACUUUCAGCGGGGAGGAAGGUGUUGUGGUUAAUAACCGCAGCAAUUGACGUUACCCGCAGAAGAAGCACCGGCUAACUCCGUGCCAGCAGCCGCGGUAAUACGGAGGGUGCAAGCGUUAAUCGGAAUUACUGGGCGUAAAGCGCACGCAGGCGGUCUGUCAAGUCGGAUGUGAAAUCCCCGGGCUCAACCUGGGAACUGCAUUCGAAACUGGCAGGCUUGAGUCUUGUAGAGGGGGGUAGAAUUCCAGGUGUAGCGGUGAAAUGCGUAGAGAUCUGGAGGAAUACCGGUGGCGAAGGCGGCCCCCUGGACAAAGACUGACGCUCAGGUGCGAAAGCGUGGGGAGCAAACAGGAUUAGAUACCCUGGUAGUCCACGCCGUAAACGAUGUCUACUUGGAGGUUGUGCCCUUGAGGCGUGGCUUCCGGAGCUAACGCGUUAAGUAGACCGCCUGGGGAGUACGGCCGCAAGGUUAAAACUCAAAUGAAUUGACGGGGGCCCGCACAAGCGGUGGAGCAUGUGGUUUAAUUCGAUGCAACGCGAAGAACCUUACCUGGUCUUGACAUCCACAGAAGAAUCCAGAGAUGGAUUUGUGCCUUCGGGAACUGUGAGACAGGUGCUGCAUGGCUGUCGUCAGCUCGUGUUGUGAAAUGUUGGGUUAAGUCCCGCAACGAGCGCAACCCUUAUCCUUUGUUGCCAGCGGUUAGGCCGGGAACUCAAAGGAGACUGCCAGUGAUAAACUGGAGGAAGGUGGGGAUGACGUCAAGUCAUCAUGGCCCUUACGACCAGGGCUACACACGUGCUACAAUGGCGCAUACAAAGAGAAGCGACCUCGCGAGAGCAAGCGGACCUCAUAAAGUGCGUCGUAGUCCGGAUUGGAGUCUGCAACUCGACUCCAUGAAGUCGGAAUCGCUAGUAAUCGUGGAUCAGAAUGCCACGGUGAAUACGUUCCCGGGCCUUGUACACACCGCCCGUCACACCAUGGGAGUGGGUUGCAAAAGAAGUAGGUAGCUUAACCUUCGGGAGGGCGCUUACCACUUUGUGAUUCAUGACUGGGGUGAAGUCGUAACAAGGUAACCGUAGGGGAACCUGCGGUUGGAUCACCUCCUUACCUUAAAGAA
rnacentral:rRNA from 1 species